UACGUAGGGCGCAAGCGUUAUCCGGAAUUAUUGGGCGUAAAGCGCGCGUAGGCGGCCCGGUAAGUCCGUUGUGAAAGUCAAAGGCUCAACCUUUGAAAGCCGAUGGAUACUGCCGGGCUGGAGUCCGGAAGAGGCGAGUGGAAUUCCUGGUGUAGCGGUGGAAUGCGCAGAUAUCAGGAGGAACACCAAUAGCGAAGGCAGCUCGCUGGGACGUUACUGACACUAAGGCGCGAAAGCGUGGGGAGCGAACAGG
rnacentral:rRNA from 1 species